rnacentral:tRNA from 1 species
AGGCCUGUAGCUCUAACGGCAGAGCACCCGGCUCCAAACCGGGUGGUUGGGGGUUCAAAUCCCUCCAGGCCUGCCU